rfam:Triticum aestivum genome assembly, contig: Triticum_aestivum_CS42_TGACv1_scaffold_226556_3B
GAUCUGCUCCCUCCGUUCGGAAUUACUUGUCUCAGAAAUGGAUGUAUCUAGAACUAAAAUACGUCUAGAUACAUCCAUUUAUGCGACAAGUAAUUCCGAACGAAGGGAGUAGAAA